UGCUCCUUUGACGUUAGCGGCGGACGGGUGAGUAACACGUGGGUAACCUACCUAUAAGACUGGGAUAACUUCGGGAAACCGGAGCUAAUACCGGAUAAUAUUUCGAACCGCAUGGUUCGAUAGUGAAAGAUGGUUUUGCUAUCACUUAUAGAUGGACCCGCGCCGUAUUAGCUAGUUGGUAAGGUAACGGCUUACCAAGGCGACGAUACGUAGCCGACCUGAGAGGGUGAUCGGCCACACUGGAACUGAGACACGGUCCAGACUCCUACGGGAGGCAGCAGUAGGGAAUCUUCCGCAAUGGGCGAAAGCCUGACGGAGCAACGCCGCGUGAGUGAUGAAGGUCUUCGGAUCGUAAAACUCUGUUAUUAGGGAAGAACAUACGUGUAAGUAACUAUGCACGUCUUGACGGUACCUAAUCAGAAAGCCACGGCUAACUACGUGCCAGCAGCCGCGGUAAUACGUAGGUGGCAAGCGUUAUCCGGAAUUAUUGGGCGUAAAGCGCGCGUAGGCGGUUUUUUAAGUCUGAUGUGAAAGCCCACGGCUCAACCGUGGAGGGUCAUUGGAAACUGUAAAACUUGAGUGCAGAAGAGGAAAGUGGAAUUCCAUGUGUAGCGGUGAAAUGCGCAGAGAUAUGGAGGAACACCAGUGGCGAAGGCGACUUUCUGGUCUGUAACUGACGCUGAUGUGCGAAAGCGUGGGGAUCAAACAGGAUUAGAUACCCUGGUAGUCCACGCCGUAAACGAUGAGUGCUAAGUGUUAGGGGGUUUCCGCCCNCUUUA
rnacentral:rRNA from 1 species